GCUGGGCGUGGUGGCGGGCACCUGUAACCCCAGCUACUCAGGAGGCUGAGGCAGGAGAAUCGCUUGAACCCAGGAGGCAGAGGUUGCAGUGAGCCAAGAUCGCGCCACUGCACUCUAGCCUGGGUGACAGAGCGAGACUCUGUCUCAA
rnacentral:SRP_RNA from 2 species